rnacentral:rRNA from 1 species
UACGGAGGUUGCAAGCGUUGUUCGGAAUGACUGGGCGUAAAGGGAGCGCAGCCGGCUCGAUUAGUCUGGAGUGAAAGCCCGGGGCUCAACCCCGGAGGGUCUUCGGAUACUGUCGAGCUCGAGUACGGAAGAGGUGUGUGGAAUUCCGGGUGUAGUGGUGAAAUGCGUAGAGAUCCGGAGGAACACCAGUGGCGAAGGCGACACGCUGGGCCGUACCUGACACUGAUGCGCGACAGCAUGGGGAGCAAACAGG